AAGAAUUUAAGUUAUAUAUUUAAACUUUUGACCUUCAAAGUCAAACAAAGAAAGAUCUAAUUCUUA
rnacentral:tRNA from 1 species